rnacentral:tRNA from 2 species
GGGGUGGUAGCUCAGCGGUUAGAGUGCCUCUCUGUCGAAGAGGAUGUCGCGGGUUCGAAUCCCGUCCACCCCGCCA